UUUUACAUUGGACUAGACAUCAUCAGCUUUUGGCAACUUUUGAACACCAUCAUUGGCUUUCUUCCACAGUCGAAGACGUUCAAAUUAACAGUCCAUGAACAGCUACUGCUGGUCCUAAUGAGGCUUCGGCUUGGCUUAAUGUUCACAGAUUUGGGAUCAGCAGAACUACAGCCUGUGAUAUGUUCGCAAUGUGGAGAGCAACACUUUCCCAAGGGAAAAUCUUUUUUUUGGCUCCCUCGAGACACUCUGAAUAGAGUAAGACCCUCAAGUUUUCUUGAACACUAUCCCAAUGCAACAUGCAUCAUAGAUUGCACUGAAAUAUUUGUCCAAAGACCGAAGAACUUGGGGAAAAGAGCAAAAACAUACAGCAACUAUAAGCAUCACAACACCUACAAAGUCCUCUAUUGCAUAGCCCCCAAUGGUUUUGUGAUGUAUUGUGUCAAAACUGUUUGGUGCCAGAGCUAGUGACAUUUUUAUCACAAAAAACUGUGGAUUUCUGUCACAUUUGAUUUUUGGUGAUCAGAUUUUGACAGACCGGGGAUUCACAAUUGGAGAUGUUCUUCCUCCAGGAGUGACAUUGGCUAUUCCAGCACUUACACGUGGAUGUACACAACUAUCAGAACAUGAAGUCACAAGAACCCGCCGUCUCGCCAAUGUCCGAAUUCAUGUUGAACGUGCAAUAAGAAGGCCUACAUGUCAGCAUCAUCUUCCAACUUGUCAGCGAUAAUAUGCCCAAGAUAUUUUGUACUGCUUGACACACAGUGAUUGCCCUGACAGGUAAAACGUUGGAAAGACUUCCUGAACACAACACUUUUUUUGCAUUGUACUGUAUUUUUUUGCAUUGUACUGUAGGCCUACAUCAAACUCAACCCCAGAGCACACAUUCAGAAGUUGCUGAAACUCAACAGUGCCGGGGGACAUGGGCCUAAUAACCAGAUCAUCAAAUGGUUGAAAACGGUGCAUGUGUUUUAUUGUCUGUGUCUAAAUCUCGUCAUACAUCCAGUGUGUUUUGUUUUUUUAACAGACGUGUUUUCACAAUGACACUCUGAGAAUUUACUUUUGAACAAAGUGUCUUGUGUAUAAAAUGGUGUGCAGACA